GAUGAAGAACGUAGCGAAAUGCGAUAAGUAAUGUGAAUUGCAGAAUUCAGUGAAUCAUCGAAUCUUUGAACGCACAUUGCGCCCGUCAGUAUUCUGGCGGGCAUGCCUGUUCGAGCGUCAUUACGCCCCUCAAGUCCCCUGUGGACUUGGUGUUGGGGAUCGGCGAGGCUGGUUUUCCAGCACAGCCGUCCCUUAAAUUAAUUGGCGGUCUCGCCGUGGCCCUCCUCUGCGCAGUAGUAAAACACUCGCAACAGGAGCCCGGCGCGGUACACUGCCGUAAAACCCCCCAACUUUUUAUAGUUGACCUCGAAUCAGGUAGGACUACCCGCUGAACUUAAGCAUAUCAAUAAGCGGAGGA
rnacentral:misc_RNA from 1 species